GUUUUAAAAAACACGUUCUGAUGAGCUCGGAAUUAUCCCUGGAGAGGGAAUAUCGUCUCCAUUACAAGACAGUAGCUUAAUAUCAGAGGCAGUUUGUGUGAACUGCAUGUAGCUGGUAGGAAACAGUAGAUAAAACAAGCUUGGAGAUCUUCAUAGAAAGGGAGGGAGGUUAGAGAGAGAGAAAGAGAGUCUUUUUUGUCGUCGUUAGGAAGAGACAAUCUUGCAGGGGAUUUAAGAGAUAUGUGCGUCUCUCUCCCACCCCCUUUCCUCUGCUUAUGGAAAAUGAGCCAGGAACAAGCUGGACACAGGAGACAGAUGGAGGCCUUCUCUCCAACUGUUGACACCAGCCAAACAGGAUAAAUAGUUCAUAUUGUAAUGAUGACAAUGAUAAUGAUGAAGAGAAAGCAUUAACCCAGAUGAAAAAAAGUUUUGAUUUUAAGCUCUGCUUAAGCCCCGAAGUCCUGCUGUCAGAGCCACUUACAUGAUCCAAGGGACUUUUGACUACAAAGACGGGAAUUUAAGAGCGAAGGAUUUUGUUAUGCUCCCUGGAGGCGCAUAUUUGGGAUGCCCGGCCAUUGGGGGCCUUCCAGUCUGCUACAGCCUUCACAGCAGACAAAGAACAGAGGAGGGAACACACAGCUUCUCGAGUGCCAGCGGUGAAAGGAUCGGCUACAUAAUUUAUGGGGCAAAGUGAAAAUGUGGGGCUUCUCGUUAUUAAGAAUUUCAAAAUGGUGACAGCAGAGCACUAAACCAAGUGCACACCCAUGAAGCCGGCCCUGCUUACUUUACAAAUGGGCGAACUGAGGUCCAGGACAGUAAAGCAAGAUGCUACCAGCCCACAGAUGGUAAGUGCUGGAGAAGCAGCUAGCAGCCGGAUCACUGGACAUUUGGUAACUGCUCUCUCCGCUUCGCUUCCUGUUCCGGGCUUCUCCCACUGCCCAGCGUCCCCACAGUGGGACAGCGGGGGCACACCAUGGGUGCUGUGAACUGAAUGCUCUGCUCUGACCUCUUUAGUUGUUCCAACCCUUAGC
rnacentral:lncRNA from 1 species